GACGAACGCUGGCGGCGUGCUUAACACAUGCAAGUCGAACGGAAAGGCCCUGCUUGCAGGGUACUCGAGUGGCGAACGGGUGAGUAACACGUGGGUGAUCUGCCCUGCACUUCGGGAUAAGCUUGGGAAACUGGGUCUAAUACCGGAUAGGAACCAUCUUUAGUGUGGUGGUUGGAAAGUUUUUUCGGUGUAGGAUGAGCUCGCGGCCUAUCAGCUUGUUGGUGGGGUAAUGGCCUACCAAGGCGGCGACGGGUAGCCGGCCUGCGAGGGUGUACGGCCACCUUGGGGCUGAGAUACGGCCCAGACUCCUACGGGGGGCAGCAGGGGGGAAUAUUGCACAAUGGGCGGAAGCCUGAUGCAGCGACGCCGCGUGGGGGAUGAAGGCCUUCGGGUUGUAAACUCCUUUCGCUAGGGACGAAGCUUUGUGGUGACGGUACCUAGAUAAGAAGCACCGGCUAACUACGU
rnacentral:rRNA from 1 species